CUUCACUUCUUCUUCUCCCCAGAUCCGAAGCGAGAAGCCUCUUUUGGAUCUAUCCAUUCGGGUCACCGUGGCAGUUCGGUAAUUUUGGCGGAGAGGAGGAGGAGGACGACGACGACGACGACGUGAUGGGUCUCCUCGACAAGCUGUGGGACGACACCGUCGCGGGGCCCCGCCCCGACACCGGCCUCGGCCGCCUCCGCAAGCACGCCGCCGCCCGCCCCGCCGCCGUCAAGAUCAACGACCCGACAGGGGACGCGGCGAUGGUGGCCGUCCCGCCGACGACGCCGGCCGGGGCGGAGGAGGCGCCGGUGAAGGUGACGCGCAGCAUCAUGAUCAAGCGCCCCGCGGGGUACCCGGCGUCGCCGAGGAGCGCGGCCAGCACGCCGCCGGCCUCCCCCGCCGGAUCCACCCCUCCCAUCUCGCCGUUCGCCGGCGCCGGUGAGUUCCCGGGAUUCCACACGCUCUCUCUCUCUCCCAACUUUUCGGUACGGUAACGGUAGGGGGUAGUUUGGUAAUUUCACCCGCCCCUUGCGUGAUGGGGAAUGCCGUGAUGGGUAGGCAGCUGUCAGCUGCGCGGGGUUUUGUCCGGGAGUUAGGAAGCGUCUAGAUGAGCUCAUGGGCAUUUUGGACAUUUCUGCAUCCUCGGUGAGUGGGUGCUCUAGCUCUCUGGUCUCCAUCAUGGAUUCAUGGCUGGAUAUUAACCCUACUACUGAUUUAUUAUUGGAUACAAGUUAUCAUGCGUGACUUGAAAUGCAGCAACAAUCGGAUAAACGUAGCUAUCAUGCUUCACCUCUGGAUGGUGGCUUUGCGGUGGUCGCUUCAGAAGGAAAUCAUCGUCCGACGCAUAUGAGAGGGCAACACCUGGGACAACCAGUCACCCUCCUCCCUUUGAAGUGUGAGCCCCCAGCGUGCUCACGCUCGUUUUUGCUCCUAGGCCAGCGUCUACUGCACACACAAGGCAGAGGAGGAGGAGAGACAUAUCAGAGACCGAAGCGGAUGGAAGUCGAGUGUUGUCUACCUAUCUUACCUCUACUACUGUGAUAUAACGUAGAUGCUACUAGUAAUUAAGUACGCCUGCUGCUGCUCGCCGUCUACUAUGUUGAGUCGUGUAUGGUUUGUGUAGUAAGGUUGUCGUCUGCUGUGUCAUAUAUGUACAUAUGUUUGCUCUGGGCUGCGAUGGAGCUUGCUGCAGUCUGCAGCCAAGCCCGCAGUUCAUCGCUGCGUCGUGUUUUCGCGUCCUUUUAAGCCCUCUGCAACUAUGUCAAAUGGAUGGGCAUGUGGAGGAUGGUGGAAUGAGCUUUCAGGCUGUGAUGCUAAAGAUGGAAGCACUGAUGGCUGGUGUGUGAUUUUGCUUGAUGUAUUAUCUGAAUUCUCAAGUAGUAGAUGCUUUGCUUGAACCUUGUAUAUUUGCAAUGCUCGAGGCUUCUUGGCUAGAAGAUGUUUUGCUUGAACCCUGUAUAUUUGGAAUGUUCCAAUAAGCUAACUGGCCUGUCUUUUGUGCA